GACGAACGCUGGCGGCGUGCUUAACACAUGCAAGUCGAACGGAAAGGCCCUGCUUUUGUGGGGUGCUCGAUUGGCGAACGGGUGAGUAACACGUGAGUAACCUGCCCUUGACUGUGUGAUAACUUCAGGAAACUGGGGCGAAUACCGGAUAGGAUCUCCUGCUGCAUGGUGGGGGUUGGAAAGUUUCGGCGGUUGGGGAUGGACUCGCGGCUUAUCAGCUUGUUGGUGGGGUAGUGGCUUACCAAGGCUUUGACGGGUAGCCGGCCUGAGAGGGUUACCGGCCACAUUGGGACUGAGAUACGGCCCAGAAUCCUACGGGAGGCAGCAGUGGAGAAUAUUGCACAAUGGGCGGAAGCCUGAUGCAGCAACGCCGCGUGCGGGAUGACGGCCUUCGGGUUGUAAACCGCUUUCGCCUGUGACGAAGCGUGAGUGACGGUAAUGGGUAAAGAAGCAACGGCUAACUACGUG
rnacentral:rRNA from 1 species